rnacentral:rRNA from 1 species
UACGAAGGGGGCUAGCGUUGUUCGGAAUUACUGGGCGUAAAGCGUGCGCAGGCGGCCAUUCAAGUCAGGGGUGAAAGCCCAGAGCUCAACUCUGGAACUGCCCUUGAAACUGUGUGGCUCGAGUACGGGAGAGGUGAGUGGAAUUCCCAGUGUAGAGGUGAAAUUCGUAGAUAUUGGGAAGAACACCGGUGGCGAAGGCGGCUCACUGGCCCGUUUCUGACGCUCAUGCACGACAGCGUGGGGAUCAAACAGG